GGCGAGUCUUACCACACCUAACUCUACAAAGAAGAAAGAGUAAACGACGUGAUGAAGGCCCAUCAAAGGGCAGUGGGAGCCCAGCCCUUGGAAGAUUCUGUACAAAGUGAAGAAGCCCAGAGGCAGCCCAGGAGCGAUACUUUUUAAGGUGUUUUCCAUCAGUCCACAGGUGGUGGCUACACGGACAGGGGAUAAUGCUGGUACCUGCAACAGGAUGAAUGAAGUCAGAGGGAGUAUAAGUCCAUUUUCAUUUGAUCAUAGUUUCCUCUUUUUUUCAAUCUUAGCUGUCAAAGAGGCAAUCUUUUCCUUGUAAAGUGGAAGGAAGAUCUAAGCAAUACAAGACCUAUCUUCAAAAAUACAUACCAAGUGUCUUGAUGUUUGUUUUAAAGUAUAUUUAAACUUUGCAAGAAAAAAAAAAAACAAAACAACAACUUUCUGCUUUGAGGGUCUUCCCAUUCAAAAGACAAGCCAUCUACGAAGUCCUAACUGAAGCUAAUACUGUAAUUACAC
rnacentral:lncRNA from 1 species